rnacentral:rRNA from 1 species
UACGAAGGGGGCUAGCGUUGCUCGGAAUCACUGGGCGUAAAGCGCACGUAGGCGGAUUGUUAAGUCAGGGGUGAAAUCCUGGAGCUCAACUCCAGAACUGCCUUUGAUACUGGCGAUCUCGAGUCCGGGAGAGGUGAGUGGAACUGCGAGUGUAGAGGUGAAAUUCGUAGAUAUUCGCAAGAACACCAGUGGCGAAGGCGGCUCACUGGCCCGGACUGACGCUGAGGUGCGAAAGCGUGGGGAGCAAACAGG